rnacentral:rRNA from 1 species
CAGUCGCCGCGGUAAUACGAAGGGGGCUAGCGUUGUUCGGAAUUACUGGGCGUAAAGCGUGCGCAGGCGGUUCGUUAAGACAGAUGUGAAAUCCCCGGGCUUAACCUGGGAACUGCAUUUGUGACUGGCGAGCUAGAGUAUGGCAGAGGGGGGUAGAAUUCCACGUGUAGCAGUGAAAUGCGUAGAGAUGUGGAGGAAUACCGAUGGCGAAGGCAGCCCCCUGGGCCAAUACUGACGCUCAUGCACGAAAGCGUGGGGAGCAAACAGGAUUAGAUACCCCUGUAGUCCCUGUCUCUUAUAU